UUUCCGGACCACCUUUGCGAUGGAAUGAUUUUUAAUCACAGCUUUGCCAUGGAAUGAUUUUUAAUCACAAGCCACCUGGAUGUGUUGAUUGCUCGCACAUGCAGUGAAAAAUUCUAUGCAAACUCUGAAGGCAAGUGAUUGGCAUCUUGAAGGAGCUAGGAGCAUUUCAUAUAUUCUACAGCCAAGCCACGGCAGGAGAAGAAAAAAACAAAUGUUCAAGCUCUAGAGUACAUUGCAAAUUAUUUUGCUAUUCAGCUUCAAUAGUACUACUUAGGUCUCAUGGAACAAUUAAUGACUAUUGUAGAUGUAUUUUAAUGGCUGUAAUGACAUUGGAUUUCCAGAAUGAAUGAGAACAUCAAUGAAU